rnacentral:misc_RNA from 1 species
GCGUCCGUUUCGUUUAAGUCGAUCCCGAACACAAGCGUCGGGACGGCGAGUUGAGGUGUCGUUCCGCGAGGGGCGUCCCUUCAAGUGC